rnacentral:tRNA from 1 species
GUACCCAUGGUGUAGUGGUUAUCACAUCCACCUAACACGUGAAUGUUCCCAGGUUCGAAACCUGGUGGGUACA